rnacentral:rRNA from 1 species
AACGAACGCUGGCGGCAUGCCUAAUACAUGCAAGUCGAACGAGAUCUUCGGAUCUAGUGGCGCACGGGUGCGUAACGCGUGGGAAUCUGCCCUUGGGUUCGGAAUAACUUCUGGAAACGGAAGCUAAUACCGGAUGAUGACGUAAGUCCAAAGAUUUACCGCCCAAGGAUGAGCCCGCGUAGGAUUAGCUAGUUGGUGGGGUAAAGGCCCACCAAGGCGACGAUCCUUAGCUGGUCUGAGAGGAUGAUCAGCCACACUGGGACUGAGACACGGCCCAGACUCCUACGGGAGACAGCAGUAGGGAAUAUUGGACAAUGGGCGAAAGCCUGAUCCAGCAAUGCCGCGUGAGUGAUGAAGGCCUUAGGGUUGUAAAGCUCUUUUACCCGGGAUGAUAAUGACAGUACCGGGAGAAUAAGCUCCGGCUAACUCCGUG